CACGUAGGGGGCAAGCGUUGUCCGGAUUUAUUGGGCGUAAAGAGCUCGUAGGCGGUUCGCUAAGUCGGGUGUGAAAUCCCACGGCUCAACCGUGGAAGUGCAUUCGAAACUGCAGGGCUAGAGUCCUGGAGAGGAAGGUGGAAUGCUUGGUGUAGAGGUGAAAUUCGUAGAUAUCAAGCGGAACACCGGUGGCGAAGGCGGCCUUCUGGACAGUGACUGACGCUGAGACGCGAAAGCGUGGGGAGCAAACAGG
rnacentral:rRNA from 1 species